GUUGGAUAGGAGAAUAAUAUCAUGCGUUCCAAAUUUAUUUCUCGCACAUCUGGAAUCUCACCUUUCUGUCACUUGAUAAUCUUUCGAGACUUAUCACUCGAGAACGCGUGAUCGGACGAAAAUGCGGUUAGCACGUCGAUGACUUAUUUGGAUAGGAGAAUAGUAUCAUGCAUUUCAAAUUUAUUUCUCGCACAUCUGGAAUCUCACCUUUCUGUUACCUGCAAUGUCGAGGUUUAUCACUCGAGAACGCAUGAUCGGACGAAAAUGCGGUUAGCACGUCGAUGACUUAUUUGGAUAGGAGAAUAGUAUCAUGCAUUUCAAAUUUAUUUCUCGCACAUCUGGAAUCUCACCUUUCUGUUACCUGCAAUGUCGAGGUUUAUCACUCGAGAACGCAUGAUCGGACGAAAAUGCGGUUAGCACGUCGAUGACUUAUUUGGAUAGGAGAAUAAUAUUAUGUGUUUCAAAUUUUUUUCUCGCACACCUGGAAUCUUACCUUUCUGUCACCUGACGAUCUUUUGGGGCUUACGAUUAAAUGCGCUCAUUAAUUGUGCGUCUUAGGAAACGACAUGAAAGUACGAUGAAAUGCUUGCCAAGCUCUAGGAUUAGUUUUGGGUCACAACCCAGACUCAAUAUUACCAUCUUCUUGGAAGUUCUAAUUUCAAAGUCCGCACUAACGUCGCAUGGACAUUGUCCUCAUGUAAUUAUUACAGCGAAUAUACCAUGACAUUAUGGAGAAGCGUCAUUUCAGCCUUUGAAAAUGCUCAGUACGUUCCAAGCUAUGUAGAAUAUUCGCAUCAAGUCAUGCUGAUUGAACGACUAUGUCUUACUCUCUGCCGCUUGCACAGAAGAAACAGAGUUGCAAAAUCUUUGGAUGGAAAUUGGUGAUCAUGUGGGGAAAGUUUCUAAUCUCAUGAAAAAGUACCAGAUAGAAACUGUGCUGCCUGAAAAACUAGGGGAUUUAAUUAAAGCAAGAGCACAAUUGGAGCAACAUACAAAGAAUGCUCGAGACGUUGAAAAUCGUCAAAUUGCUUAAUUAUUGGGAAAUAUAUUU